CAAAGGAGCAAUCCGCUGAAAGAUGGGCUCGCGUCCGAUUAGGUAGUUGGCGGGGCAACGGCCCACCAAGCCGACGAUCGGUAGCCGGACUGAGAGGUUGAACGGCCACAUUGGGACUGAGACACGGCCCAGACUCCUACGGGAGGCAGCAGUGAGGGAUAUUGGUCAAUGGGGGAAACCCUGAACCAGCAACGCCGCGCGAGGGAAGACGGUUUUCGGAUUGUAAACCUCUGUCCUCUGUGAAGAUAAUGACGGUAGCAGAGGAGGAAGCUCCGGCUAACUACGUGCCAGCAGCCGCGGUAAUACGUAGGGAGCAAGCGUUGUCCGGAUUUACUGGGUGUAAAGGGUGCGUAGGCGGCUUUGCAAGUCAGAAGUGAAAUCCAUGGGCUUAACCCAUGAACUGCUUUUGAAACUGCAGAGCUUGAGUGGAGUAGAGGUAGGCGGAAUUCCCGGUGUAGCGGUGAAAUGCGUAGAGAUCGGGAGGAACACCAGUGGCGAAGGCGGCCUGCUGGGCUCUAACUGACGCUGAGGCACGAAAGCGUGGGUAGCAAACAGGAUUAGAUACCCUGGUAGUCCACGCUGUAAACGAUGAUUACUAGGUGUGGGUGGACUGACCCCAUCC
rnacentral:rRNA from 1 species